rnacentral:rRNA from 1 species
UACGUAGGGAGCAAGCGUUGUCCGGAAUCAUUGGGCGUACAGCGCGCGUCGGCGGCCCUGUAAGUCCGUUGUGAAAGUCAAAGGCUCAACCUUUGAAAGCCGAUGGAUACUGCAGGGCUAGAGUCCGGAAGAGGCGAGUGGAAUUCCUGGUGUAGCGGUGGAAUGCGCAGAUAUCAGGAGGAACACCAAUAGCGAAGGCAGCUCGCUGGGACGGUACUGACGCUAAGGCGCGAAAGCGUGGGGAGCGAACAGG